rnacentral:rRNA from 1 species
CUACGGGGGGCACCAGUGGGGAAUAUUGCAUAAUGGGCGCAAGCUUGAUGCAGCCAUGCCGCGUGUAUGAAGAAGGCCUUCGGGUUGUAAAGUACUUUCAGCGGGGAGGAAGGGAGUAAAGUUAAUACCUUUGCUCAUUGACGUUACCCGCAGAAGAAGCACCGGCUAACUCCGUGCCAGCAGCCGCGGUAAUACGGAGGGUGCAAGCGUUAAUCGGAAUUACUGGGCGUAAAGCGCACGCAGGCGGUUUGUUAAGUCAGAUGUGAAAUCCCCGGGCUCAACCUGGGAACUGCAUCUGAUACUGGCAGGCUUGAGUCUCGUAGAGGGGGGUAGAAUUCCAGGUGUAGUGGUGAAAUGCGUAGAGAUCUGGAGGAAUACCGGUGGCGAAGGCGGCCCCCUGGACGAAGACUGACGCUCAGGUGCGAAAGCGUGGGGAGCAAACAGGAUUAGAUACCCGCGUAGUC